rnacentral:lncRNA from 1 species
UGUAUAAUUUGUGGUUCUCUAUUUCACCCAAUUUCAGAAAACAAGGGUUACCGUUGUGGGACUUCCGGGUAUUGAUUUAUACGGUGAAAUUUUCAAACUUCCGGGUAUUGAUUUAUACGGUGAAAUUUUCAAACUUCCGGGUAUUGAUUUAUUCGGUGAAAUUUUCAAUUGUUGUAUAAUUUGUGGUUCUCUAUUUCACCCAAUUUGUUAUUUCCUGUUUAUCUUUUCGUUUUUAAUUUACCGAUGAAUCUCCAUGUCACAAUCGGAUAUAAAUUGCAAGAACAAGUAUUGUACAAUCUAACAUUAUUGAGUGAUGCUAUAAAGAAUGUCGUACAUGAUCUUUUCUCUUCUCUUGAUUGAAAUUUUUUGAUUAUAGUAGGGAAUUAUAUUAGCAAAUACUUCAAUUAAGGUUAUUUCAGUUGAUACCUACAAUUGAAUGGUGGUGAAGAAGGAUUAAUAGUGAUUUUUUUUUAUUUUUUUUAUUUAUAUUAAAAAAGUUUUUACAGGUAUCAAUUGAAUGCAUUGAACUCAGCUUUUUAAUUGGUUGCUUUUGCAGGUAGCUGUGAUUAUAUAAUUAUAUUUUUAUUUAUGGAUUACAUGAUGAAUUGCAAAACUGAUCUAAAUAAGUAUCUCUUUCUGAAAUUAUUUUAAAUAAGUAUCUCUUUCUGAAAUUAUUUGCAACUUGGGUUCAUACUGGUUUAUGUUUUUUUUUUUUGUUUUUUUUUUUCCUUUUUUUAAGACGAAGAUUUGUCACCUAUUUAACUAGUUUUGUAUGCUAUGUCUCUGUAUCCAAUACACAUUGUAUAUAUGUGGUGAGGAGAAUUUCUUAUUUAAAAAAAAAAAAAAAACUGAUAUAUUGUUGUUUGUUUCCACGAGGUAUCAAUUUAUACAUGAAAACCAUGUCUUCCAAAAUGACCAAAACCAUAUCUUAUCUCGCCCUUUAGCUGUCAAAACUAUUUGCAUAUAUUAGCGUCUUAUUAGUUAUGGUAAAAAAAAUUAUGUGCUUUAGGACCUGAAUGAGAUUCAAUAUGUGUAUUUAGCUAACCGAAUAGAUAUGACUUAUUUUUUCUUGUACAGCAAUCUCCAUCGUGAAAUCGACCAAGCGGAAUCUGGUGUUUGAUCAUCAAGACGCGAAUUUGCAUCUUCUGGGCGUAGUAUGUAAUUAUGUGUUUAUUAGUAUAUGAAACAUUAUUAAAUUUGAACUGUUGAAUGUUGUAUAUGCUACAAGUUUACGAAAAAUUUGUAAAAAUUUGUAUUGCAUCGACAUGGAAAUUAAAAUAUGCUUAUAAGGAAAACUGAAUUGUAUAUCUUUGCAAAUAAUAUGGUAAGAAACAUAUAUAUGGUAAUAGAAAGCAUGCACUUCUUGUAUUAAUUUUAAGUCUAGAAUGUUGUGAUUGUGACUGCGUAUAUGAUAUAGAUUAGAAAAUGUUGAUGAGUGCAGUAGAUGAAUGCAUAUGAAUUGAUUACUUUAUAAAUUUUACAGUGCUUGUAUUGAACUUUAUAGCAUGAUUUUGUAUCACUUCAAUCAUUUAAAUUACUAAAAUCAUGCACUUGCCACUUAAUAUUUAUUAUUCGCAGUUAAAUUGAAGCAGCACUAUGUAUAAUGACCGUAGUUGGAUGUGGCAUCGAUUUGACGCUAACGGAUAUAUAAGAUCAGAAUUUGACGAGGGACUUAAGGAAUUUUUAGAUUUUGCUUAUUCUCAUCCAAAUGUAGUUGAUCAUGGUAAGAUAAGAUGUCCUUGUUCUAAGUGCUGCAAUCGAAAAUUUAACAAUCGAGAUAAUGUGCGUCA